AAAUUGAAGAGUUUGAUCAUGGCUCAGAUUGAACGCUGGCGGCAGGCCUAACACAUGCAAGUCGAGCGGUAGCACAGAGAGCUUGCUCUCGGGUGACGAGCGGCGGACGGGUGAGUAAUGUCUGGGAAACUGCCUGAUGGAGGGGGAUAACUACUGGAAACGGUAGCUAAUACCGCAUAACGUCGCAAGACCAAAGUGGGGGACCUUCGGGCCUCAUGCCAUCAGAUGUGCCCAGAUGGGAUUAGCUGGUAGGU
rnacentral:rRNA from 1 species